AGCGCCCUGAACGGGCCACUCUCUCUGCCGCCCUGCGACUCGCAGAGCACGAGCAGAGAUCAUCGCAGGGAGCUCUGGCGAUAGCGUCAGGCGUGUGUUGGUUCACCAGAAAACUGUCGGGACUACUUCUCUGGGACCUCCAGUUGGAGACACCGGGAUCUGCUGCAUGCUGUGCGUCCUGCCUGGUCUCUCCUCACGUACAGUUUGGCAACUGCUGCAAUUCGCCAACGUCGCACAUCCAUCAGUCCUCCCCCCCUAUACAGCAUCAGCAUCACCUAUCACCCCUCCCGCCCGCCCCCCGUCCCGAGGCAGCUGUGCCCGGCUGUCCUUCCCGAGCCCCGCUGCGGUCCCGCCUGGGCAGCGCGCACGGAAACGGACUCUGUAACAGAUGUGAUGGGCACGAUGCAGCAAGUAGAUGGCGAGCUUCCCAGCUGGAUUUCCAGGAAGCCAGAUCUACAUUUCCACUGAAACUAAAGGAUGAACUAUCUGCUUUGUGGGAGGAUCCUGCCAGUCACCUGGACUGAUACCAGCUCAAACAUAGAAAGCACAUUGACUCCUCGGACAGAUCAGACCUCCAUCUGAGCUGAACUCAAACACAGUUGUAUUUGACCGACUUCCCCUGUGGUCACCAUGCAGGCACUGACUUGGGAGUUAUUUGAGUUGUGGAGAAAUUCCACGAGAGGACGAAUCUGCACAAUGACGUUUGUCCAUCACCAAACCAAGCUUCCUGAAAGGACAUUUUCUUUGGCUAAGGGGUGAGUUUUUUAUUUGGCAAUGUGAAUGUCCCAGUUGUCUUUCUAUUCACAUGAAUGAAUGAAGAUUGUAAAGCACUCCGAGACAAAUUUGUAAUUUGUGAAAUUGGGCUAUACAAAUAAACUGAAUUGAAUUGAAUUGAAUUGAAUAUUCACUAUGAAUUAAUUUGUGUUGUCGUGUUUAUGCAUUGCACUCAAAACUCAGCUGUAUAAUGAUAUAAUAUAAUAUAUUUUUUAUUGAAUGAAAGGCAGCAGGGACAUACUAAA